GGGUUGUGAGGUUAAGCGACUAAGCGUACACGGUGGAUGCCCUGGCAGUCAGAGGCGAUGAAGGACGUGCUAAUCUGCGAAAAGCGCCGGCGAGGUGAUAUGAACCCUUGACCCGGCGAUGUCCGAAUGGGGAAACCCAGUGUGAUUCGUCACACUAUCGUUAACUGAAUACAUAGGUUAACGAGGCGAACCGGGGGAACUGAAACAUCUAAGUACCCCGAGGAAAAGAAAUCAACCGAGAUUCCCCCAGUAGCGGCGAGCGAACGGGGAGCAGCCCAGAGUCUGAAUCAGCUUGUGUGUUAGUGGAAGCGUCUGGAAAGUCGCACGGUACAGGGUGACAGUCCCGUACACGAAAAUGCACAGGUUGUGAACUCGAAGAGUAGGGCGGGACACGUGGUAUCCUGUCUGAAUAUGGGGGGACCAUCCUCCAAGGCUAAAUACUCCUGACUGACCGAUAGUGAACCAGUACCGUGAGGGAAAGGCGAAAAGAACCCCGGCGAGGGGAGUGAAAAAGAACCUGAAACCGUGUACGUACAAGCAGUGGGAGCACCUUCGGGUGUGACUGCGUACCUUUUGUAUAAUGGGUCAGCGACUUAUAUUCUGUAGCAAGGUUAACCGUAUAGGGGAGCCGAAGGGAAACCGAGUCUUAACUGGGCGUUAAGUUGCAGGGUAUAGACCCGAAACCCGGUGAUCUAGCCAUGGGCAGGUUGAAGGUUGGGUAACACUAACUGGAGGACCGAACCGACUAAUGUUGAAAAAUUAGCGGAUGACUUGUGGCUGGGGGUGAAAGGCCAAUCAAACCGGGAGAUAGCUGGUUCUCCCCGAAAGCUAUUUAGGUAGCGCCUCGUGAACUCAUCUUCGGGGGUAGAGCACUGUUUCGGCUAGGGGGCCAUCCCGGCUUACCAACCCGAUGCAAACUACGAAUACCGAAGAAUGUUAUCACGGGAGACACACGGCGGGUGCUAACGUCCGUCGUGAAGAGGGAAACAACCCAGACCGCCAGCUAAGGUCCCAAAGUCAUGGUUAAGUGGGAAACGAUGUGGGAAGGCCCAGACAGCCAGGAUGUUGGCUUAGAAGCAGCCAUCAUUUAAAGAAAGCGUAAUAGCUCACUGGUCGAGUCGGCCUGCGCGGAAGAUGUAACGGGGCUAAACCAUGCACCGAAGCUGCGGCAGCGACACUAUGUGUUGUUGGGUAGGGGAGCGUUCUGUAAGCCGUUGAAGGUGGCCUGUGAGGGUUGCUGGAGGUAUCAGAAGUGCGAAUGCUGACAUAAGUAACGAUAAAGCGGGUGAAAAGCCCGCUCGCCGGAAGACCAAGGGUUCCUGUCCAACGUUAAUCGGGGCAGGGUGAGUCGACCCCUAAGGCGAGGCCGAAAGGCGUAGUCGAUGGGAAACAGGUUAAUAUUCCUGUACUUGGUGUUACUGCGAAGGGGGGACGGAGAAGGCUAUGUUAGCCGGGCGACGGUUGUCCCGGUUUAAGCAUGUAGGCGGAGGUUCCAGGUAAAUCCGGUACCUUUUUAACGCUGAGGUGUGAUGACGAGGCACUACGGUGCUGAAGUAACAAAUGCCCUGCUUCCAGGAAAAGCCUCUAAGCAUCAGGUAACACGAAAUCGUACCCCAAACCGACACAGGUGGUCAGGUAGAGAAUACCAAGGCGCUUGAGAGAACUCGGGUGAAGGAACUAGGCAAAAUGGUGCCGUAACUUCGGGAGAAGGCACGCUGAUAUGUAGGUGAAGCCCCUGCGGGUGGAGCUGAAAUCAGUCGAAGAUACCAGCUGGCUGCAACUGUUUAUUAAAAACACAGCACUGUGCAAACACGAAAGUGGACGUAUACGGUGUGACGCCUGCCCGGUGCCGGAAGGUUAAUUGAUGGGGUUAGCGGCAACGCGAAGCUCUUGAUCGAAGCCCCGGUAAACGGCGGCCGUAACUAUAACGGUCCUAAGGUAGCGAAAUUCCUUGUCGGGUAAGUUCCGACCUGCACGAAUGGCGUAAUGAUGGCCAGGCUGUCUCCACCCGAGACUCAGUGAAAUUGAACUCGCUGUGAAGAUGCAGUGUACCCGCGGCAAGACGGAAAGACCCCGUGAACCUUUACUAUAGCUUGACACUGAACACUGGUCCUUGAUGUGUAGGAUAGGUGGGAGGCUUUGAAGCGUGGACGCCAGUCUGCGUGGAGCCAACCUUGAAAUACCACCCUUUAAUGGCUGGUGUUCUAACGUAGACCCGUAAUCCGGGUUGCGGACAGUGUCUGGUGGGUAGUUUGACUGGGGCGGUCUCCUCCCAAAGAGUAACGGAGGAGCACGAAGGUUAGCUAAUCCUGGUCGGACAUCAGGAGGUUAGUGCAAUGGCAUAAGCUAGCUUGACUGCGAGAGUGACGGCUCGAGCAGGUGCGAAAGCAGGUCAUAGUGAUCCGGUGGUUCUGAAUGGAAGGGCCAUCGCUCAACGGAUAAAAGGUACUCCGGGGAUAACAGGCUGAUACCGCCCAAGAGUUCAUAUCGACGGCGGUGUUUGGCACCUCGAUGUCGGCUCAUCACAUCCUGGGGCUGAAGUAGGUCCCAAGGGUAUGGCUGUUCGCCAUUUAAAGUGGUACGCGAGCUGGGUUUAGAACGUCGUGAGACAGUUCGGUCCCUAUCUGCCGUGGGCGCUGGAGAAUUGAGGGGGGCUGCUCCUAGUACGAGAGGACCGGAGUGGACGCAUCACUGGUGUUCGGGUUGUCAUGCCAAUGGCACUGCCCGGUAGCUAAAUGCGGAAGAGAUAAGUGCUGAAAGCAUCUAAGCACGAAACUUGCCCCGAGAUGAGUUCUCCCUGAGACUUAAAGUCUCCUGAAGGAACGUUGAAGACGACGACGUUGAUAGGUCGGGUGUGUAAGCGCAGCGAUGCGUUGAGCUAACCGAUACUAAUGAACCGUGAGGCUUAACCUUACAACGCCGAAGCUGUU
rnacentral:rRNA from 1 species